UACGUAGGGUGCAAGCGUUAAUCGGAAUUACUGGGCGUAAAGCGUGCGCAGGCGGUUCGCUAAGACAGAUGUGAAAUCCCCGGGCUUAACCUGGGAACUGCAUUUGUGACUGGCGGGCUAGAGUAUGGCAGAGGGGGGUAGAAUUCCACGUGUAGCAGUGAGAUGCGUAGAGAUGUGGAGGAACACCGGGUGGCGAAGGCGGCGAUCUGGGAAGAUACUGACGCUGGAGGUGACGAAAGCGUGGGGAGCAAACAGG
rnacentral:rRNA from 1 species